UGCCAGCAGCCGCGGUAAUACGGAGGGUCCAAGCGUUAUCCGGAUUCAUUGGGUUUAAAGGGUCCGCAGGCGGGAAAAUAAGUCAGUGGUGAAAGCCUACAGCUUAACUGUAGAACUGCCAUUGAAACUGUUUUUCUUGAGUAUAGAUGAAGUGGGCGGAAUAUAUCAUGUAGCGGUGAAAUGCAUAGAUAUGAUAUAGAACACCGAUUGCGAAGGCAGCUCACUAAACUAUUACUGACGCUCAGGGACGAAAGCGUGGGGAGCGAACAGGAUUAGAUA
rnacentral:rRNA from 1 species